rnacentral:rRNA from 1 species
GAUGAACGCUAGCGGCGGGCCUAAUACAUGCAAGUCGAACGGUGCAGCAAUGCAUAGUGGCAGACGGGUGCGUAACGCGUAUGCAACCUACCUUUUAUCGGGGGACAACAUUUCGAAAGAAGUGCUAAUACCGCGUAAGAUAGUAGUGGGACAUCCCACAGCUAUUAAACUUUCGGGGAUAGAAGAUGGGCAUGCGUCUGAUUAGCUAGUUGGCGGGGUAACGGCCCACCAAGGCGACGAUCAGUAGGGGAACUGAGAGGUUGAUCCCCCAACUGGCACUGAGAUACGGCCCAGACUCCUACGGGAGCAGCAGUUGGGAAUCUUAGGCAAUGGACGAAAGUCUGACCUAGCGACGCCGCGUGAGGGAAGAAGGCCUUCGGGUUGUAAACCUCUGUCAUGGGGGAAAAGUAAGUGACGGUACCCAAGAGGAAGCCCUGCUAACUACGUG